CGUGAGAUGUUGGGUUAAGUCCCGCAACGAGCGCAACCCCUAUUGUUAGUUGCUACGCAAGAGCACUCUAGCGAGACUGCGUUGACAAAACGGAGGAAGGUGGGGACGACGUCAAAUCAUCAUGCCCCUUAUGUCCUGGGCUACACACGUAAUACAAUGGCAUUUAACAGAGGGAAGCAAAGCCGCGAGGUGGAGCAAAUCCCUAAAAGGUGUCUCAGUUCGGAUUGCAGGCUGCAACUCGCCUGCA
rnacentral:rRNA from 1 species